rnacentral:rRNA from 1 species
UACGGAGGGUGCAAGCGUUAUCCGGAUUCACUGGUUUAAAGGGUGCGUAGGCGGCCUGCAAGUCUGGGCGUGAAAGCCCCGGGCUCAGCCCGGGAAGUGCGCUCGAAACUGCGCGGCUCGAGUGCCGGAGGGGAGAUGGAAUCCUGGUGUAGCGGUGAAAUGCGCAGAUAUCAGGAGGAACACCAGUGGCGAAGGCAGGCUCGCUGG